GGUGAAUGCCCUGGACUCUUCAAGAUCGAGCGCACCAUUGGACAGGCUGAGUACGUCCAUCGACAGCCUGCCCAGUGUCCGGGUUCACCAAGCAGUACAACCAGAGACGCUGUCGGCUGCCUGUAGGUCUGGAAACCAGACAACAUCUCUGAAACCCACUAUCCUCUGAUGCAUGAAUCUCUAUGCUCAAUUUGGCUACAUCUAAUUUGCCAUCAUUUAAUCCUCCAUAAUGCAAACAUCCUGUUUUUCAUCAAGAGAAAGAACAUUAAGAAUUUUCGCACAUUCUGUUGUAGCAAUAUCGACUGUAUGAAUACCAGUAGUGUGUUUGACAGUUUGUUCUUGUGGCUUCCAAAAGAAACCUGGAAUGUUUGUUCUGCCGGUACAACUCUCUUUGGCUAGGACAUUUUGGCUUCAAAUAACAUAAAUGAACCUAAAACUUCUUAAUAUUUUAUAUCACUUUUUGUAUUGAUGUUCUUCAUGCAUGCUCAUCUGCCAAGAGGUUAGUCACAUAAUGUCACACGUUCCUCAGCAGGCACCAAGCCGUCCGCUGUUGUCUCUGCCUGAAGAAGGAUUAUGGUUCUCCACCUCUUUGCUAAUCAUAUUAAAAUUCUGGUAUGUUCUUUCUUUCUUUAUUUUCUUUCAAGAAAAAGGUGCAUCCUGUUCUUAAUUUCCUAUGAUGAUUUCAAUGGCAAUUUGUCAGUGUAUUUCUAGCUGGAAUUGUAUGUAUAUCUUAAAAAUGUGCAUUGCAACAAAUUAAUAACGAGAAUAGAAGCGUUUGCACCCAUCUAACAUAUUUGUAUGGUAUUUUUCAAAAGCUCAAGCUUAAAGAUGUGGCGUUGUAUGAGGCUAUCAUUAGGAUGGAAGAUAAAUUUAAUGUUAAAAUAUUGCUUGAAUUUCCUUUGUUCUGUAAACGGCAAUACAAGAUAUGUUGCGCCAUGGUUUUUUUCCAAAAAAAUAACAACUAGCAAUUAACGACACAUCAAAUGUUCUGUGGAUCAUUUUGUCAGGUUGGAUUUAGUUGGUCAUAAUGGUUUUAUUCUAUGACAGGAUUAAUUUUGUUUGUACUUUAACCAGUUCAAGGAUUGGUGGUCGAGCACUAUGAUCUUUGCACACUAAGGUUCGGUUGUGUUCUUUGAGAAAUAUAUGUCCUACAAGUCUCAUGUGUCUUGUCUUGUUUUCGAUUUCCAAGCUACAAGCUUUUGAUAUCCUUCAAACGUGAUUCUUUAUAUGUUGUUUGUUCCAUCAAUCGUAAAAUGUAAAUUAGCAAUUAGGCGUCGACAUAGUAUAGUGGAACCAUUGUGCUUGAUGCAGUUUUAUUUUAGUGUUGAAAUGUUUUUCUUAGUUUGUUUGGUGUUGAGAAAUAUAUUCGUUUUCCAGCAAUUGUUUUCUAAAUCCUAUCAACACAUUACCUGAUAUGGCCUUUGAAGUUUCUGUUUUAUAACGAUCUUUGUUGCAGUGGUCAACUUGAGUAUGGUAUAGCUUAUUAUUUUCUGUUGCAGCUAUUCCGGAGAAGUUUAGAGCUUCUGCAACCUUUUGAAGACACGAUUUAUAGUUGCGGAGAUGAAACAAGCAAUCAGUUGCGAUGCAUUACAUAAUAUUUUUGCUCUGGACAUUGAUGGGUAUUAUUUUGCCACAAAGGACAGGAGCUUUGCCAUUUGACUCGAAGGAUAAAGUGUUCAUCACAAGGGGGUGGUCUUUAGGAUGUACACAAAAGAGGAAAUUUCCUUUUGUAUAGAACCAAAUUAUAUGAUGUAAUUGACCAUUCUCUUGUACACAAUGUUUAUCAUGUAUUAAGUACAUUUUAUUGUCAAAUAUGUUUACUUUUUUAGUUGCACAAGUUCAUAACUCCUUGGACUUUCUAAUUGCAGGCUGAACUAUUUGAAACCA
rnacentral:lncRNA from 1 species